CGUUAAUCCUGUGAGGGUCAAUCAUUCCUUGAGGUUACCUCUCCUUUUCUCCCUAAAGAAGAAACAAAAGAAAAUUGGAGUAUGCCCAUGGAGUGUAAGAGCAGACAGACUUCAGCAUUUUAAGGGAAGACAAGACUAAAAGUCAGUACCUGAAAUGCCAGGAACCCAGGACCACCAUCCCUUGGAUGCCACCACCCACCAUGGGCUGGGAUCUCCCCUGAUUGACACUAAUUAAGAACAUGUCCUACAGCUGGAUCUCAUGGAGGUA